ACGGAGGGAGCUAGCGUUGUUCGGAAUUACUGGGCGUAAAGCGCACGUAGGCGGCGACUCAAGUCAGAGGUGAAAGCCUGGAGCUCAACUCCAGAACUGCCUUUGAAACUAGGUUGCUAGAAUCUUGGAGAGGCGAGUGGAAUUCCGAGUGUAGAGGUGAAAUUCGUAGAUAUUCGGAAGAACACCAGUGGCGAAGGCGACUCGCUGGACAAGUAUUGACGCUGAGGUGCGAAAGCGUGGGGAGCAAACA
rnacentral:rRNA from 1 species